AACGCAUCUUGCGCUCCUUGGUACUCCGAGGAGCAUGCCUGUUUGAGUGUCAUUAAAUUCUCAAACCAUGACUUUUUGUUGUGGCUUGGAUAGUUGGGUGUUGCCAGCUUUUUUUUAUUGCAGGCUCACCUUAAAUACAUAAGUGGUGCAUUUAGAAACUUGUUAGGUGUUGUAAAUUAUCAAUACAUCUAUGUUUCUCUGAAUAUACUGCUUCUAACAAACCUCAUUUGAUGAUUUUGACCUCAAAUCAGGUAGGACUACCCGCUGAACUUAA
rnacentral:misc_RNA from 1 species